rnacentral:rRNA from 2 species
UUAGUUGGGCACUCUAAGGUGACUGCCGGUGACAAACCGGAGGAAGGUGGGGAUGACGUCAAAUCAUCAUGCCCCUUAUGACCUGGGCUACACACGUGCUACAAUGGAUGGUACAAAGGGCUGCAAGACCGCGAGGUCAAGCCAAUCCCAUAAAACCAUUCUCAGUUCGGAUUGUAGGCUGCAACUCGCCUACAUGAAGCUGGAAUCGCUAGUAAUCGCGGAUCAGCAUGCCGCGGUGAAUACGUUCCCGGGCCUUGUACACACCGCCCGUCACACCACGAGAGUUUGUAACACCCGAAGUCGGUGGGGUAACCUUUAUGGAGCCAGCCGCCUAAGGUGGGACAGAUGAUUGGGGUGAAGUCGUAACAAGGUAG